GUUUUUUCUGGUGGGGGAUGGGCUCGCGGCCUAUCAGCUUGUUGGUGGGGUGAUGGCCUACCAAGGCUUUGACGGGUAGCCGGCCUGAGAGGGUGACCGGUCACAUUGGGACUGAGAUACGGCCCAGACUCCUACGGGAGGCAGCAGUGGGGAAUAUUGCACAAUGGGCGAAAGCCUGAUGCAGCGACGCCGCGUGAGGGAUGGAGGCCUUCGGGUUGUAAACCUCUUUCGCUCAUGGUCAAGCCGCAACUUAGGGUUGUGGUGAGGGUAGUGGGUAAAGAAGCGCCGGCUAACUACGUGCCAGCAGCCGCGGUAAUACGUAGGGCGCGAGCGUUGUCCGGAAUUAUUGGGCGUAAAGGGCUUGUAGGCGGUUGGUCGCGUCUGCCGUGAAAUCCUCUGGCUUAACUGGGGGCGUGCGGUGGGUACGGGCUGACUUGAGUGCGGUAGGGGAGACUGGAACUCCUGGUGUAGCGGUGGAAUGCGCAGAUAUCAGGAAGAACACCGGUGGCGAAGGCGGGUCUCUGGGCCGUUACUGACGCUGAGGAGCGAAAGCGUGGGGAGCGAACAGGAUUAGAUACCCUGGUAGUCCACGCUGUAAACGUUGGGCACUAGGUGUGGGGGCCACCCGUGGUUUCUGCGCCGUAGCUAACGCUUUAAGUGCCCCGCCUGGGGAGUACGGCCGCAAGGCUAAAACUCAAAGGAAUUGACGGC
rnacentral:rRNA from 1 species